rnacentral:rRNA from 1 species
GACGAACGCUGGCGGCGUGCCUAACACAUGCAAGUCGAACGGAACUUCUUUAAAGGAUUUCUUCGGAAUGAAUUUGAUUAAGUUUAGUGGCGGACGGGUGAGUAACGCGUGAGUAACCUGCCUCUAAGAGGGGAAUAACAUUCUGAAAAGAAUGCUAAUACCGCAUAAUAUAUAUUUAUCGCAUGGUAGAUAUAUCAAAGAUUUAUCGCUUAGAGAUGGACUCGCGUCCGAUUAGUUAGUUGGUGUGGUAACGGCUCACCAAGACCGCGAUCGGUAGCCGGACUGAGAGGUUGAACGGCCACAUUGGGACUGAGACACGGCCCAGACUCCUACGGGAGGCAGCAGUGGGGGAUAUUGCGCAAUGGGGGAAACCCUGACGCAGCAACGCCGCGUGAAGGAUGAAGGUCUUCGGAUUGUAAACUUCUUUUAUUAAGGACGAAGAAAGUGACGGUACUUAAUGAAUAAGCUCCG